GGAGAGCGCUCUUCUCUCUGCUUCCCGCUUCACUACUGCUCUGCACAAAGCAGAAAGAGAAGUAGUAGGUGGACCUGUGGCUGUGAGGAAAUUACAGAGCUCAUUCUAUGGCAAAGAGAUUAAUAGUCAUACUCUUUUCACUAAAAACUUCAAAAAAAUCAAUCUCACUAUCACCUCAGUGAUGCGGAAGAAACUGAUAAAGAAGGAGACUGUUGUUCCUGACCCAGAUUACCGAAUUCCUAUUGUCCUUCUAGGGUUAUCUGGUGGUUUAUUUUAUGUGGAAAAUCUACCCGCAGCAGUUCCUAUUGGUCUUCUUGGAUUACUCCUGUUAUUCCAGACAACAAGAGUGAGAUUUGUCUUUGAUGAUGAGGCUCUGGAGGUGAAAGUUGGGGAGCAACUCGAGGAGUCAGGUGAAAAUGUUUUUGUGGGUGGAAAGAACCGCUGGAAAUAUUCUUCAUUUGCGAACUGGGAGCUAUGGUGGCCAAACUUUCCGAUUUUGGUUUAUUUUAAAGAGAAACAGACAAAACCCGAGGGACAAAUACACUUUUUCCCAGUGAUUUUUAACGGGAAGCAACUGUACGAUGCUAUGGUGGAGAGAUGUGGCCCUUCAAAAACUAGCGGACCAAAGUAGUGCAACAUGAGCUCCAGGGAGAAGACGAAUAUGAGCCAGACAAACCAUACAAUCAGAAUUUGUGGCAAAGGUAUGAAGCCCAACGAGGUUAAGGAACUCGUCAGUUGAGUCACAAGAUGUGGUUUAAUCAAUUAAUGUAUAUUCCCUUUCAUGUUUUUACACGUCUGUAAAAUCACAAAGAUAAACUAUCAAUCUGAGUAUGUGUCACAACUCACAAAAUCAUGUAUUAUAUGUAUCACCAUUACUGUAUGAAAGGCGGUAACUGGAUGCAAACUAUAUGUAUUCACAUUUGGAAUGUGUUACAAGUUCUA
rnacentral:misc_RNA from 1 species